rnacentral:rRNA from 1 species
AUAAAAGAAAGUAAAUAAGGGCGCAUGGCGGAUGCCUUGGCUCUCGGAGGCGAUGAAGGACGUGAUAAGCUGCGAUAAGCUUCGGGUAGGUGCAAAUGACCUUUGAUCCGAAGAUUUCCGAAUGGGACAACCCGGCAUUCUGAAGGAAUGUCAUCCAACUUGGUUGGAGGCUAACGCAGGGAACUGAAACAUCUUAGUACCUGCAGGAAAAGAAAAUAAAUAAUGAUUCCCCUAGUAGUGGCGAGCGAACGGGGAUUAGCCCAAACCACCCAUGUUACGGCAUGUGUGGGGUUGUAGGACCACGCUCUCGCAAGACAGUUAUUGAGAAGAAACGACUGGAAAGUCGUGCCAUAGACGGUGAUAGCCCGGUAUUCUAAGGUAACCGAAGCGUAGUGGUAUCCUGAGUAGCGCGGAGCACGAGGAAUUCUGCGUGAAUCAGCCGGGACCAUCCGGUAAGGCUAAAUACUCCCGAGAGACCGAUAGCGAACCAGUACUGUGAAGGAAAGGUGAAAAGCACUUCGAAUAGAAGAGUGAAAUAGUCCCUGAAACCAUGCGCCUACAAGCGGUCGGAGCAGCUUAAGCUGUGA